rnacentral:rRNA from 1 species
GAUGAACGCUGGCGGCGUGCUUAACACAUGCAAGUCGAACGAAGCACUUAAGUUGAUUUCUUCGGAUUGAUUCUUAAGUGACUUAGUGGCGGACGGGUGAGUAACGCGUGGGUAACCUGCCUCGUACAGGGGGAUAACAGUUAGAAAUGACUGCUAAUACCGCAUAACCCGCUAAGGUCGCAUGACCUAGACGGAAAAGAUUUAUCGGUACGAGAUGGACCCGCGUCUGAUUAGCUAGUUGGUGAGGUAACGGCCCACCAAGGCGACGAUCAGUAGCCGGGCUGAGAGGGUGAACGGCGACAUGUGGAAUGAGACACGGCCCAAACUCCUACGGGAGGCAGCAGUGGGGAAUAUUGCACAAUGGGGGAAACCCUGAUGCAGCGACGCCGCGUGAGUGAAGAAGUAUUUCGGUAUGUAAAGCUCUAUCAGCAGGGAAGAAAAUGACGGUACCUGACUAAGAAGCCCCGGCUAACUACGUGCCAGCAGCCGCAGUAAGAC